GCUCGCUUCGGUAGCGCGUAUACUAAAAUUGGAACAAUACAUAGACUAUUAGCAUGACCUCUGCACAGGAUGACAUGCAAAUUCAUGAAGUAUUCCAUAUUUUC